rnacentral:rRNA from 1 species
UUUUUGCCAAUGCCGAAAAGGGGGAGGAAGGGCCGCGGGUGAGUGAGGAAGGCCUUUGGGGUGUAAAAGUCUGUCAGGAGGUGAGGAACAUCAUAGAGAUGAUUACUCUCUUAUUUGACGAAGGUCAUCAGAGAAAACACCAGCAAAUUUGGUGCCGCCAGCGCGGUUAAUCAGAGGGGGCAAAGCUUGUUUGGAAUUCUUGGGGGUAAAGAGCCAGUUGGGGGGGGAGUAAAUUCGAGAGGAAAACCCUGGCUUCAAAGGAAGAAACGCAUCGAAAAAUGUAUUUUUGAGCGUCAGGAGGGGGGAUGGGAACUCUGGUGGGACCGUGGAAAGGGUUGGAUUCCGAGGGGACCCCGGCGGGGGAAAGGGUUUUUUGGCUUAGUUACGGCCGCCAGGGUGCGAAAGCUAGGGGAGCAAAAAGGAUUAGAUACCCCGGUAGUCCUAGCCGUAAACGAUGGGCACUAAGUAGAGGGGUUUU